GGGUUGUGAGGUUAAGCGACUAAGCGUACACGGUGGAUGCCCUGGCAGUCAGAGGCGAUGAAGGACGUGCUAAUCUGCGAUAAGCGUCGGUAAGGUGAUAUGAACCGUUAUAACCGGCGAUUUCCGAAUGGGGAAACCCAGUGUGAUUCGUCACACUAUCAUUAACUGAAUCCAUAGGUUAAUGAGGCGAACCGGGGGAACUGAAACAUCUAAGUACCCCGAGGAAAAGAAAUCAACCGAGAUUCCCCCAGUAGCGGCGAGCGAACGGGGAGCAGCCCAGAGCCUGAAUCAGUGUGUGUGUUAGUGGAAGCGUCUGGAAAGGCGCGCGAUACAGGGUGACAGCCCCGUACACAAAAAUGCACAUGCUGUGAGCUCGAUGAGUAGGGCGGGACACGUGGUAUCCUGUCUGAAUAUGGGGGGACCAUCCUCCAAGGCUAAAUACUCCUGACUGACCGAUAGUGAACCAGUACCGUGAGGGAAAGGCGAAAAGAACCCCGGCGAGGGGAGUGAAAAAGAACCUGAAACCGUGUACGUACAAGCAGUGGGAGCACAGAGCAAUCUGUGUGACUGCGUACCUUUUGUAUAAUGGGUCAGCGACUUAUAUUCUGUAGCAAGGUUAACCGAAUAGGGGAGCCGAAGGGAAACCGAGUCUUAACUGGGCGUUAAGUUGCAGGGUAUAGACCCGAAACCCGGUGAUCUAGCCAUGGGCAGGUUGAAGGUUGGGUAACACUAACUGGAGGACCGAACCGACUAAUGUUGAAAAAUUAGCGGAUGACUUGUGGCUGGGGGUGAAAGGCCAAUCAAACCGGGAGAUAGCUGGUUCUCCCCGAAAGCUAUUUAGGUAGCGCCUCGUGAAUUCAUCUCCGGGGGUAGAGCACUGUUUCGGCAAGGGGGUCAUCCCGACUUACCAACCCGAUGCAAACUGCGAAUACCGGAGAAUGUUAUCACGGGAGACACACGGCGGGUGCUAACGUCCGUCGUGAAGAGGGAAACAACCCAGACCGCCAGCUAAGGUCCCAAAGUCAUGGUUAAGUGGGAAACGAUGUGGGAAGGCCCAGACAGCCAGGAUGUUGGCUUAGAAGCAGCCAUCAUUUAAAGAAAGCGUAAUAGCUCACUGGUCGAGUCGGCCUGCGCGGAAGAUGUAACGGGGCUAAACCAUGCACCGAAGCUGCGGCAGCGACGCUUAUGCGUUGUUGGGUAGGGGAGCGUUCUGUAAGCCUGCGAAGGUGUGCUGUGAGGCAUGCUGGAGGUAUCAGAAGUGCGAAUGCUGACAUAAGUAACGAUAAAGCGGGUGAAAAGCCCGCUCGCCGGAAGACCAAGGGUUCCUGUCCAACGUUAAUCGGGGCAGGGUGAGUCGACCCCUAAGGCGAGGCCGAAAGGCGUAGUCGAUGGGAAACAGGUUAAUAUUCCUGUACUUGGUGUUACUGCGAAGGGGGGACGGAGAAGGCUAUGUUGGCCGGGCGACGGUUGUCCCGGUUUAAGCGUGUAGGCUGGUUUUCCAGGCAAAUCCGGAAAAUCAAGGCUGAGGCGUGAUGACGAGGCACUACGGUGCUGAAGCAACAAAUGCCCUGCUUCCAGGAAAAGCCUCUAAGCAUCAGGUAACAUCAAAUCGUACCCCAAACCGACACAGGUGGUCAGGUAGAGAAUACCAAGGCGCUUGAGAGAACUCGGGUGAAGGAACUAGGCAAAAUGGUGCCGUAACUUCGGGAGAAGGCACGCUGAUAUGUAGGUGAAGUCCCUCGCGGAUGGAGCUGAAAUCAGUCGAAGAUACCAGCUGGCUGCAACUGUUUAUUAAAAACACAGCACUGUGCAAACACGAAAGUGGACGUAUACGGUGUGACGCCUGCCCGGUGCCGGAAGGUUAAUUGAUGGGGUCAGCGCAAGCGAAGCUCUUGAUCGAAGCCCCGGUAAACGGCGGCCGUAACUAUAACGGUCCUAAGGUAGCGAAAUUCCUUGUCGGGUAAGUUCCGACCUGCACGAAUGGCGUAAUGAUGGCCAGGCUGUCUCCACCCGAGACUCAGUGAAAUUGAACUCGCUGUGAAGAUGCAGUGUACCCGCGGCAAGACGGAAAGACCCCGUGAACCUUUACUAUAGCUUGACACUGAACAUUGAGCCUUGAUGUGUAGGAUAGGUGGGAGGCUUUGAAGUGUGGACGCCAGUCUGCAUGGAGCCGACCUUGAAAUACCACCCUUUAAUGUUUGAUGUUCUAACGUUGACCCGUAAUCCGGGUUGCGGACAGUGUCUGGUGGGUAGUUUGACUGGGGCGGUCUCCUCCUAAAGAGUAACGGAGGAGCACGAAGGUUGGCUAAUCCUGGUCGGACAUCAGGAGGUUAGUGCAAUGGCAUAAGCCAGCUUGACUGCGAGCGUGACGGCGCGAGCAGGUGCGAAAGCAGGUCAUAGUGAUCCGGUGGUUCUGAAUGGAAGGGCCAUCGCUCAACGGAUAAAAGGUACUCCGGGGAUAACAGGCUGAUACCGCCCAAGAGUUCAUAUCGACGGCGGUGUUUGGCACCUCGAUGUCGGCUCAUCACAUCCUGGGGCUGAAGUAGGUCCCAAGGGUAUGGCUGUUCGCCAUUUAAAGUGGUACGCGAGCUGGGUUUAGAACGUCGUGAGACAGUUCGGUCCCUAUCUGCCGUGGGCGCUGGAGAACUGAGGGGGGCUGCUCCUAGUACGAGAGGACCGGAGUGGACGCAUCACUGGUGUUCGGGUUGUCAUGCCAAUGGCACUGCCCGGUAGCUAAAUGCGGAAGAGAUAAGUGCUGAAAGCAUCUAAGCACGAAACUUGCCCCGAGAUGAGUUCUCCCUGACUCCUUGAGAGUCCUGAAGGAACGUUGAAGACGACGACGUUGAUAGGCCGGGUGUGUAAGCGCAGCGAUGCGUUGAGCUAACCGGUACUAAUGAACCGUGAGGCUUAACCUUACAACGCCGAAGCUGUU
rnacentral:rRNA from 1 species